GGCCAGGUAGCUCAGUUGGUAGAGCAGAGGACUGAAAAUCCUUGUGUCGGCGGUUCAAUUCCGUCCCUGGCCA
rfam:Betaproteobacteria bacterium SG8_41 WOR_8-12_3864, whole genome shotgun sequence.